rnacentral:rRNA from 1 species
UACGUAGGGGGCGAGCGUUGUCCGGAUUUAUUGGGCGUAAAGAGCUCGUAGGCGGCUUGGCAAGUCGGGUGUGAAACCUCCAGGCUCAACCUGGAGACGCCACUCGAUACUGCCAUGGCUAGAGUCCGGUAGGGGACCACGGAAUUCCUGGUGUAGCGGUGAAAUGCGCAGAUAUCAGGAGGUACACCGAUGGCGAAGGCAGGUCUCUGGGCAUUAACUGACGCUGAGGAGCGAAAGCAUGGGGAGCGAACAGG